rnacentral:rRNA from 1 species
AUUGAACGCUGGCGGCAGGCCUAACACAUGCAAGUCGAACGAGUGGCGGACGGGUGAGUAAUGUCUGGGAAACUGCCCGAUGGAGGGGGAUAACUGCUGGAAACGGUAGCUAAUACCGCAUACAAUCAGAUGUGCCCAGAUAGGAUUAGCUAGUUGGGGGGGUAACGUCUCACCAAGACGACGAUCCCUAGCUGGUCUGAGAGGAUGACCAGCAACUCUGGAACUGAGACAAGCUCCAGACUUCUACGGGAGGCAGCAGUGGGGCAUCUUGCAGAAUGGGCGCAAACCUGAUGCAGCCAUGCCGCGUGUAUGAGGAAGGCCUUCGGGUUGUAAAGUACUUUCAGCGGGGAAGCGUUACCCGCAGAAGAAGCACCGGCUAACUCCGUGCCAGCAGCCGCGGUAAUAC